AUUGAACGCUGGCGGCAGGCCUAACACAUGCAAGUCGAACGAGUGGCGCACGGGAGAGUAAUGUCUGGGAACCUGCCUGAUGGAGGGGGUUAACUACUGGAAACGGUAGCUAAUACCGCAUACCAGCAGCUGUUCCCAGAUGGGAUUAGCUUGUUGGUGGGGGAACGGCUCACCACGGAGACGAUCCCUACCUGGUCUGAGAGGAUGACCAGCCACACUGGAACUGAGACACGGUCCAGACUCCUACGGGAGGCAGCAGUGGGGAAUCUUGCACAAUGGGCGAAAGCCUGAUGCAGCCAUGCCGCGUGUAUGAAGAAGGUCUUCGGGUUGUAAAGCACUUUUAGCGGGGAGGCGUUACCCGCAGAAGAAGCACCGGCUAACUCCGUGCCAGCAGCCGCGGUAAUUC
rnacentral:rRNA from 1 species